GACGUAGGGGCGAGCGUUGUCCGGAAUUACUGGGCGUAAAGAGCGCGCAGGUGGUUGAUUAAGUCUGAUGUGAAAGCCCACGGCUUAACCGUGGAGGGUCAUUGGAAACUGGUCGACUUGAGUGCAGAAGAGGGGAAGUGGAAUUCCAUGUGUAGCGGUGAAAUGCGUAGAGAUAUGGAGGAACACCAGUGGCGAAGGCGGCUUCCUGGUCUGUAACUGACACUGAGGCGCGAAAGCGUGGGGAGCAAACAGGAUUAGAUAU
rnacentral:rRNA from 1 species